CCUCCUCCACUCCACUCCCCUUUCCUUCCCUCUCUAGAAUCCUUAACUUUCUCCAAUGCAUCUAAGGCCUUACCUCCUAAGCAGGUCUUCCCUGAAUCCCACAAGAGACAGUGACUUUUGCUUCUUGAAAUAACUUUGUAUUUAUAUUUAUUUAUCUAUGUCUAUGUAUUUCUCCUUCAACUCCCCGGUUAACAGGAGGCGUGGGCAGCUUGAGCCUAGACAGGAAUGAGCUGGUCUGAAUGGUCCAGGAGAUUAUUAACUGUGAGAAACAAGGUCUUCCUUUGAGUCAGAUGUCAGCCUCCAGGCCUUUCUUCCUCCUUCCUCAGAGAGUUCAGACCCAAAAUCACACUGCUAGUAAACACCCAAGGAAGGAUUUGAAC